CCAUUUGAUGAUCCAAACCAUG
rnacentral:siRNA from 1 species